rnacentral:rRNA from 1 species
GACGAACGCUGGCGGCGUGCUUAACACAUGCAAGUCGAGCGGUAAGGCCCUUUCGGGGGUACACGAGCGGCGAACGGGUGAGUAACACGUGGGUGACCUGCCCUCAGCUCUGGGAUAAGCCUGGGAAACCGGGUCUAAUACCGGAUAUGACUCCAUGACGCAUGUUGUGGGGUGGAAAGCCUUGUGCGGCUGAGGAUGGGCCCGCGGCCUAUCAGCUUGUUGGUGGGGUGAUGGCCUACCAAGGCGACGACGGGUAGCCGGCCUGAGAGGGCGACCGGCCACACUGGGACUGAGACACGGCCCAGACUCCUACGGGAGGGCAGCAGUGGGGAAUCUUGCGCAAUGGGCGAAAGCCUGACGCAGCGACG